CCCAGCCGUGAGGAUGCUCGCUGAGGCCUUUCCCAGAUCCUCCCCGCUAACACGGCAGUGAGGAGGGAUCUCUGCAGAUGGAGAAGGUGUGGUUAGGUCAGUUCCCUUCACACCCCAAAUUCUUCUCACCUGAUGGCACCAUCAACAGGCAGUGUCCUCCUGGCCCGCUUCCCCACCACCAGGGACUCUCUCCAGUCUGGUCCAUCCACCUUCACACUCUGAAAUGCUUACUAUUUUUCCCUGGUCCUUUGUGUCUCCUUCGCCCAAAAAGCCUCUCUGAUCUCACCAGCAUCCUUCCACUCAUCUCUACUAAUGGCAGAUUGAAUUUUGCUGAUCCCAUAUGAUCCAUUUUGAUCUCAUCCUCGUGCUUGGAGAAUUCAGUUUUUGUCAGCAUUGCUGAGAAGUCACUCAAGACAGCUGAUCAUUCUUCAUUAACAGCAGUUCCAAAGAAUAGAAUUAUCUCGUAGGAGGGAAGUGAUAAGACUGAAUCUCUGAACAAGGGACUGAAACAGAACAUAAAUCUAACUGUGCCCCACAGUUUUUGUCCUUGCACUUUCAUGAGCAACAGCAUUCCCACUGCUGCUUAAAGGAACUGGAGUUUUGCGACGAAUUCAACAGAGAAAUUGAGAAACCAUAAGCAUUAAGCAUGUGCUCCUAGGGGAGGACCACCUAUUUCUGGGGUUGUAUGCCAAGGUGAAUUGGGAACAGACAAGGAUCCAUGCCUCUCUUCCCCCAUGCCCUGCACACAGAGUGGUCACUAGGUAUCACUGGCAACCAUAUCUGUCGUCCCAUGAAAAGACUCUGGAAAAUGAAUGUCCACCUUCUCCUUCUCUGAUCCUUUUAAAAUCCUUAUGUAAUACCUUGUGACCAGCUACUAUCACAGAAGACAUGGAAAAACUUCCUACAUGCUUCUUGCACGAUGUGUCUUCAGCUGUGGAAAAUAUGCAGAGGCCUGUGAAGUUCAUGAGUAGAAGAUGUUUACAAAAAUAGAAUCUGUAUCAGAUCCAUAGAGGCAGGAAUCGUCCUGCAGGGGCUGUUGCUCCAGUGUGCUUCAGCGCUGGCCUCCUGCCACUGGCAGUUUGGAUUCCCCAGUAAAAGCUACUUCUGGCAGAGAUCUCAGUAAUUGCUUCAUGGAGGUAAUGUAGUAGAUGCCAUAAGAGUUAAUUCUACAUCAAGCUGUAUUAGCUACUGAUAGGAUUUUCGUGUGGACCGAAAAGGAAAUGAGAUAGCAAAAUGACUCAUGCAGUUCUUCUUUCUUCAGAGCUCCUUUGCUGCAGAAGACAAACAGAAAGGUUUUUUAUGAGGUUUUAAAGAAGGAAAAAAAGCAGUGCCAAUGUAGUUCAGAUCCUGAAAGUGGUGCAACUUAUCUCACAUAAGUGAAAGGCUGGGUCCUUUCAAGCUGGGAAAAUAUUUGAGGCUGUGUGAAUCAACUGAAGGGAUAACAGGUGGAGAGAGGUAGGUUGUGUUUGCAUUACAUAUUGUGAUAUAAGCUCAUGCUUACCUACACUCACACCCCAGCAAGUUUGAUCUCGUUCUUCCUGCACCCAGAGACCAUAAAAAACUUUAGGGGAGCAUAUUAGUUUAGUGCUGAGAUAGAACUAAUCAGUCCACACCCUCAAUAGUGCAUUUAUCAAAAACUCCUCCUGGGUAUUUUAUCCCAUAUGGCUGAAGAGAUGUAAUGGUGAGCACAAUUAUUUUCUCCUCUUUCACCCUAAAAUAUUUUCUCCUCUUCUCUUCAUGGUGAAUUCUCAAAUUAGCCUAUGCUGCCACAGUAGAGACACAUGCCUGGGACAUCCUGGCGUCCUCUAUUGGAAACUGAACAUUUGGCAGAGCAUCCCAAAUUAAGGACAAUCUUACCCAGAGGAAUGAAAUACUUUGAUGUUCGUAAGAUACCUUAAAAACACACUUAUUUCAACACAAGGUGAAAUUUAAAAAAAAAUUCUGAAACAAAUUAGGAUUUCUGCAGUGGGGAGAUCUUCCCAGCACAUAAAGCCCUGGCAAGGAGUGGGCCACCUGUAACUUAACAACAGACAGGACUCACAUGCGUGCUUUGCUGCAAAGAUCCUACUGUGUGACCUUGCUUAGUUUGGCAGUAUUUCAUUAAAAUGCAAUCAGCUUUCUGUAUAACACCUGGAUUUGAAGUAUUGAUACAGAAAUAAAUUUUCAAUACUCAAGUGUUUACAAUUCUUUUCUCACCUUACAUUGAUAUUUGCCUUCCAUUUGUUUUUCUUAAGAAUUUGUAGCUUCAUGGUUUUUCAGAAGAACAGUCCUGGCUUGCAGGUUUUUAGGAAGUAUGAUAUUCUCUCAGCAUCUUCAUCCCUUUUUGGUCUUUAUGCAGAGUCAUGCAGAAGUGUCAUGCUGAGUUCUAGAUAUAUUAAGAACUCAUUUUUGUACAGUUCCCAUUUCAAGGCUUUAUGGAAGACAUGGGACAGGAACUUACCAUCUGGAGCUGUGGUGGUGCAGCUUGCUCUGGUAGCAUCUCCCCCACGCCUUCGUAGCACAGUGACCUAGUGCAUGUGACCAUGCAUCACCUGCCACUCCAGCAGGGGACCCAGCACUCUCUGGAACUGCAGCUCAGCACCAAAGAACUAGCAAGUCUAGGCUGCCUCAUCUGUCACAAACUUCACCCACUCAGCAGCCCCCUCCUGGCAAGUGCCUUUCAUAAAUCCAUUCUGCAUCCUCGUGUGUCCUUACCUUGUGUCUGAGCCAGCUAAAUGCCUGCUCAUACAGAGUGAGACUGGAGGUAGGCUGGGCCAGGCUCUGAAAUUCCAGUUUCUUCUGCCAUGGCC